GGGUAGCUAUGCUGAUUUAAUAUAAUAAAAAUGAACCUCCUUCCCCGAAUACUAUAUCUCCUACAAACCCUUCCCUUCGCUAUCCCAUGCACAUUCUUUAACACAAUCAGAUCCAUUUUCACAAAACUUUUGUGGGCAUAUACAACCUCGCGUUUAGCUCACGCCACUCUAACCAGGAGUAAGGAACAAGGAGGAGUAAACCUUCCAAACAUUGAUCUAUACCAUAAAGCAAUACACUUACAGAGGAUCUAUGAAUGGACCAAAAGCACAUAAAUCCAAC